UUCAAGUUGACACCUGCAUAAGAAGAAGUGUCAGCAAUAAGGCCACAUUGGGAGUAGAGAGUGGUGGAGAGAAAGAGAGAAGGUCAGAGAGGUCAGUAAAGUCCAGACCAUGCACAGCUUCAGGUCAGGUGAAGAAUGGGAAGCUAUUGGCAGAUUUUAAGCAGGGGAAUGUCAUGAUCUAAUGUUUUCAAAAGACCACUCUAGCAGGAGUGUGGUGGAGUGAGAGUGGGUGUGGGAAGAGCAGUUAUAUGACCAUUUAAGCGAUCUUAGCAGACAUGAUGGCAGCUCUGCAAUGAAGACCAGGAGAUGAACACGGGAUACAUUUUGGAGUUGUAGCUGAUCGGGCAUACUGAUGGAUUAGAGGGGGGUAGCAGUAAGCAAGGUAACUGCACUGGGGAAAAGAUUAUAUCCAAAACUUUUGGAUUGCUCGACAUUAGAUGUUAACUCUGAGCUAAUACUAAUUUCCAGGGACCCAGAAUGAACUUAUCAAUGGAUAUCAGGAAUGGAGAUGACACAUGAAUAAGCACAGUAACAAGGAUUUCCCCUCACCAGGAUGACGUGGCCUUUGCCAUUGCUGAGAACCCAUUUUGCACGCAAUGGUGAGCAACCCCAGAUUCCUGAUAGGAUACCACUUCCUGGGAGGGCCAACGGACUAACUAGUAGUAAAUCGGUUAUAUUAUAUCCCCUAUGUGACAGAGAAGGCAGUGUUUUGCCCUAACUAGAAUAGACAUGUAUUCUGCAUAUGGAUUUACCUUCUCUAUUGGAUGUGCUACUGAGAGCCACAUCAUAAAUGGACUUAUAAAUGUCUUGUUUAUGGCCACAACACAAAUGGCUUUUAGGGGAAGGAGUAAGGGGGUUUGUUGAUGUUCAGGAAUUUUUUGCUUUUACACAUCACCUAUCAUCCAGAAACAUGUGAUGUUACAGAAGGAAACAAAUGAAGACUCAGAGCUCCAGCUGCCUCACACUAGCUUCUAAGUUUAAGGUGUAGUCCUAUAAGAUAUAAUAUGUACUCUGAACUCGAAAUCAGUGUAUUGUGCUGUUUCCCAUAGCCAGGAUACUUGAAUUCCAGAACCAAAAGGUAGAACAGAGAGUGGCACUGCUUGAUAUUAUACCUAAUAUUUGGUUUGCAGAAAUUCUCAGCAGCACAACUCUGGAAUGUGCUGAGUUCUUAGUACCAAACGGAGAAAUGAUUUUACAAAGGGACACAACUUUGCUUCUGUUGAGUUGGAUACUGAGUCUGCCACCUGAUAUCUUGAGCUCCUCAAAGAAGUUGUGGUAUUAGAUAAGAUGAUUGAUCUGAACCAUCAAGAGAAAAGGGGAAUUAUUGAUGAAACCCAAGCGGUUCCUGGAGUGCCUUAUAGAACUUCUAUAUCUAAUGGUUAAAAUUAUUAGAAGACCACAAUGAUCUCAUAUGAUUUGGAACACCAAUUGCUUGUAUCCAUUUGGAAUGAAUGUUCAAGUUAUUCCAUCAGAUAAAGAACCUCGACCAGCUCAAAAAAAUAAAAGAAAACAUAUAGUGGAGAAGGAAGAUUGCUGCAUACUUAAGAUGCAUGACAAGUUGUAGAAAAAAACUUGCACCACCUAUCCAGAAUAUUGAGCUGAGAUCAUACCAGAACUUGAGAAAGAAUGGACAUUACUGAGCAAUCUUGCAUGCGGAUAUAACUGCAGUAACAAAUGAGAUUUUUUAGUUGACCCCUUUUGAGAAUGGAGUGGUCAUGGUUUUGGUUUGGUAAAGAAUAUUUAAAUAAGGGAAUUACGGUGUAUGUUGAUGUUGGGCAGCCAGAGGGGUAGAUCAUAGUGGGAAUUUGGCAUUCUUUUUGGUUACACAGCAUCUGUACCUUCUGCCUAUGUUUGGGAAAUCUUGCACCCUAUGAAGAGUCCACUUUCAUUUACAGAAGCUCAAUAUGCCAAAAAGUUACUUUCCCAGACUUUGUUGCAAUGAGGUCAUGGAUACAUUGCCAGUUUCAGCCAAUUAGGCACGUUUGCCCCAGCAUCUGAACCAGAAAGGAGUCAUGCAAAGACAUAAUGGUUAUGCAGAACUGGCAAGGCUCAGAGCAGUGGUAGCCCCCACAUCCAGUUUUCAGAGGCAGCACUGUAUAGAGCUAAGGGCCAGGAGUAAUGGAGUUGAAAGUCCAAGGUGAAGUAUGAGUUCCCAGCACACCAGAGUGUUCCCAGGACCAGCUAUGAGGCAUGAUGUUGGACAUCACUGUAGGCUUCAAGUUUGUUCUCCAGCUGUGACUAUUCUGUGAAAGAUCCACUAUGAUUCCAGUGAAAUUAUAUCUGCUUAUAUUAGCCAGAGUUGGUUUCUGCUCUUUGCAAAUAAGACCCUGAUUAAUACUGUGCCUGUUCUGAAUGGGUGAUUUGACAGACUUUUGGGGGAGAAGUGCUCUUACUACCUGCAUUGAAUGCAUUUCUCUGGAAGACAUCCGAAGCCAGUACCAAUCUGCCAUGUACAGUUUGAGUACUUUGUUUUAGGUCUGAGCAGGAAUAGCCCUGACUCUGCUUUGGCAAGCUACUUGCCAUGCAGCAUGUAUCCAGUUCUGCUGUAUUGUUUCAGUUUUCCCGGAUAAUAAAUGACACAGCUGGGAUUUAUUCAGGUGUUCUGACUCCAAAGUCCUUGCUCCUGAUCACCAUGCGCUACCGACUUUGAGCAGUGAUGUCUCACAGAUGGGAAUGAUUCCUCUGAAGGUGAGUGGUCUCUUCGCGACUCUUCCAGAUCACAUCAUUAAUACGGUCUCUAUAUCGUCUGAUUGGCUACCACCUACUGACAAUUGCAAUCAAUUUGAUUAGCAAGCUGUAUGCAUUAUUGACAUUUCUAAUAUCAUCUGCCCAAACCGCCCUGCACCUUUCACAUCAUUAAUGUGCUGCUCAAAUCUUUGUACUUGCCCUUCAUCAUUGUAUCUUUCACUAACUUACUUCCUCCCUCCAGAAAGAACAGCAUGGUCUCAGCACCCUGUUCAGCCUGGUUCCCACCCCUGGAGUCAUUGCUGCUCCCCUUCCUGCCUUCCAAAACUCCUGAAGUGCUUCUCUCAUUGCUCAAGUUGGCUCUUUGCCAAUCCCAACAAGUGGAAUAACAUAGUAUUUUAUAGUUCAGCUAGAAACUGCUUUUGAAAUGGUGGGAGGUUUUGUGAAAAGAACAGACCCUUACACAUGCAGAAGCAUAUCUGACUAGGUUGUUUUAACUGAGUAAGAGCUUACCACAAACAAAAUGGACUUACUUUAUCCACUUAAUUUUGCACAGUAUUCAUAGCAGGAGGCAUAGUUUUGUUUAAGCAGAAUCUUGCUCGGCUGAUGAUUAUUACUGGUUUGUGAUCAGAAGACAAAACAAUGGGUGUAUCACUUGAAAUACAUAAUAAGCCUCGAAAAUUCUCCAAAUCACUUCUCCUUUUUUUACAACAUGCAGAAUGAGAGAUGAGACAGAGAGAGCAGUAUCGUUGAAGAUUAAACUACCAUUGUCAGCUUCUUAAUAGAUACAGCUCAUCACACAAAUCAUUAAACACAUAGAUUCCAGAAGAGCACAUCUGUGUACUGCUUCAGCAACACACUGAAGGGAGAAUAAAAUAUUUUCAAGGAAAUUGACACCCCAAAUGUUUAUUUCAGUAUUUCCAUUUUUCUCUUCAUUACUUUCUGUUUCAGAGAGAAUAAGUUGAAAAUUGUGAUAGAAAAUUGCAGAUGUUUUCCAAUAGCUUAUUCUAAAAUAUUGAUAGAAUUUAUAAUGAAAAUAUUUUCCCUAUUAGUGCCACCAAAACUAGCUAAGCAGAUGAUUAUUUAAUAAGUAAAAAGCCACACAUAUAGUCGGUUCACAGAAGCUACAGGUGCCAAAAAGGGUACAGGAGGGCUUGAGAAGGGGAAAGGAAGAAGUUUUUAAAUGAAACUGAGAGCUGUAAAAAUCAACCAUUAUAGGCGAGACCAAGCAUCUAUAAAAAUAGCCCAUUGUAUGAAACAGCUUUUAAAAGCAUUGCCCCUGAGACUGAGGACUUGUGGCUAUAAAGACCUAGAUGUAUUUUUAGAAAAUUGUGGCUAUAAUAGA
rnacentral:lncRNA from 1 species